rnacentral:rRNA from 1 species
UGGGGAAUUUUGACAAUGGGGGAAACCCUGAUCCAGCCAUCCCGCGUGUGCGAUGAGGGCCUUCGGGUUGUAAAGCACUUUUGGCAGGAAAGAAACGUCGCGGGUUAAUACCCCGCGAAACUGACGGUACCUGCAGAAUAAGCACCGGCUAACUACGUGCCAGCAGCCGCGGUAAUACGUAGGGUGCAAGCGUUAAUCGGAAUUACUGGGCGUAAAGCGUGCGCAGGCGGUUCGGAAAGAAAGAUGUGAAAUCCCAGAGCUUAACUUUGGAACUGCAUUUUUAACUACCGGGCUAGAGUGUGUCAGAGGGAGGUGGAAUUCCGCGUGUAGCAGUGAAAUGCGUAGAUAUGCGGAGGAACACCGAUGGCGAAGGCAGCCUCCUGGGAUAACACUGACGCUCAUGCACGAAAGCGUGGGGAGCAAACAGGAUUAGAUACCCUGGUAGUCCACGCCCUAAACGAUGUCAACUAGCUGUUGGGGAGUUUACUCUUCGGUGGCGCAGCUAACGCAUUAAACAUUCCGCCUGGGGAGUACGGUCGCAAGAUUAAAACUCAAAGG